rfam:Camelus ferus unplaced genomic scaffold scaffold1086, whole genome shotgun sequence.
GUGGGUAUAGCUCAGUGGUAGAGCACAUGCUUAGCAUGCAAGAAAUCCUAGGUUCAAUUCCUGGUACCUCCA